GUGAGGAAUAUUGGGCAAUGCCCGCAAGGGUGACCCAGCAACGCCGCGUGGAGGAUGAAUGUCGUAAGAUUGUAAACUCCUGUUAGAGGGGAAGAAUAGUACCGGUUGGACCGGUAUAUGACUGUACCCUCAGAGAAAGCCCCGGCUAACUACGUGCCAGCAGCCGCGGUAAUACGUAGGGGGCAAGCGUUGUCCGGAUUUACUGGGUGUAAAGGGCGCGCAGGCGGGAUAAAAAGUCAGUGGUGAAAUCCUACAGCUUAACUGUAGAACUGCCUUUGAUACUUUUAUUCUUGAGUUCGGGAGAGAGAGACGGAAUUCCAGGUGUAGUGGUGAAAUACGUAGAUAUCUGGAAGAACACCAGCUGCGAAGGCGGUCUCUUGGUCCGACACUGACGCUGAGGCGCGAAAGCGUGGGGAGCAAACA
rnacentral:rRNA from 1 species